rnacentral:lncRNA from 1 species
AUGGUUCCGCGCUCCACGCCCCCGGCGCAGUGCACGCCGGGCAAGAGGAAGACCUCCAGCAGCUCCCCGCGCAGCGCGGCUGUAUUUGCGGCCUGUGAGAGUAGGCGCUUCGGACCUGUGUCUCCCUGGCGAGCGGCGGGCAGAAAUCUUGAACAAGUGGAGCGCACUCGUCACCUGCAUCCUAGAAGGCCGCGAAGGCAGUACCGUUUCUUCAGCGGCGGGAAUAAUUCCUGCAGACCUGACACAUAACUGGAAGUAGAUAUUGAAUGAAUGAGUGAGUUGUAUGUGAAUAUUCGCUGAGAGGAAUCUCAGUUCAUUCUUAGCAUUUCAGAAAUUUGGCACAUAGUGUACUGAUGGAGCUAGUCUAAAAUAAUCUAUCCUGGGAGAAAUAAUUUUGUUUCUAUCUGGGUAAGUCUACAAUAGGGGAAUGCUUAUUAGCAGUAUUUUUUUUUUUUUUUUUUUUUGAGACGGAGUCUCGCUGUGUCCCAGCUGGGUCAGUGGCGCAUCUCUGCUCACUGCAAGCUCCACUCCGGUUUACGCAUUUCCGCUAGCCUCAAUAGCUGGAUACAGGCCCGCCCUCCCGGCUAUUUUUUGUAUUUUAGUAGAGGGGUUUCAUGUAGCAGGAUGUCUCGAUCUUCUACUCGUGAUCCACCCGCCUCGGCCUCCCAAAGUGCUGGGAUUACAGGCUUGAGCCACCGCGCCCGCCCUAUUAGCAGUAUUUUACUAUAUUUUGGAUACUUGCAGUAUUCUUAAGAGUGCAGAAAAAAGAAUAGUCUGAAAGAUUUAAAGAGAAAAAAGUGAAAAAAAGAAAAACUGAGUGCAUGCAUAUGUUGAGUAAUAGAGAUAAGUCUUCAGGGUUUCUUUUUGGACCAAAUUUCUUGAGAUAAAAUUUGCACACAAUAAAAUGCAUCUGUUUUAAUUUCAGUGAGUUUCAACAGAUGCAUAUACCUGUGUGACCACCGCCACACUAGAGAUAGGAAACACUUCCAUCAUAGGUUUCUGUUAUUUUAUUUAAUUUUUGGGAGGCCUUGCUCUGUCGCCCAGGCUGGAGUGCAGUGGUGUGAUCUCGGCUCAUUGCAACCUCCACCUCCUGGGCUCAAGCGAUUCUCCCAUCUCAGCCUCCUGAGUAUCUGGGACCAUAGUGCGUGCUACCACACCUGGCUAAUUUUUUGGUAGAGAUGGGGUUUCACCAUGUUGCCCAGGCUGGUCUUGAACUCCUGAGCUCAAGUGAUCCGCCUGCCUUGGCUUCCCAAAGUGCCGGGAUUACAGGCAUGAGCCACUGCACCUGGCCCAGGUUCCUGUUGUUAUUAUCAUGAGCUAUAAAGUUUCACACUUAGCAGGAAAAAGUGCUUUGAACCUUCUAAAAGUGAGAUACUUUCAAUAUUUUAAAAAAUACUAUAGAAAUGAUUUCAGUGCCAUAAGAUAACUGCAUUUCUCUCUCUUAAAUCCCACAUAUUAUAUAAUCCCUCAGCAAAUCCUAUUGGCUGCCUUCAAAAUAUAUCCAGGAUCCAACAACUUGAUAACGCUUUUACCACUACCACCUGUUCCAGGCCACCAUCUCUCCAGGCUACUGUCUCUUAUAUGGAUUAUUGUGCCAGUCUUUUUCUUCUAUCCUGUUCCCUUCCAGGCUUAACACAGUGGCCAGUGAUAAUGUUAAAAUGUGACAAGUCAAAAACUCUUCAAGGCCGGUCGCGGUGACUCAAGCCUGUAAUCCCAGCAUUUUGGGAGGCCGAGACGGGUGGAUCAUGAGGUCAGGAGAUCCAGACCAUCCUGGCUAACACAGUGAAACCCCGUCUCUACUAAAAAAUACAAAAAAAUAGUCGGGCGAGGUGGCGGGCGCCUGUACUCUUCAGUACAGGCGCCAACUACUCAGAAGGCUGAGGCAGGAGAAUGGCGGAAACCCGGGAGGCGGAGCUUGCAGUGAGCCGAGAUCUGGCCACUGCACUCCAGCCUGAGCGACAGAGCAAGACUCCAUCUCAAAAAAAAAAAAAACCUCUUCAAAUGAUUUUCAUCUCAUUCAGAGUUAAAACUAAAAUGUUUACAGUGUGCCCUACACACUACACGUAACACUCAGUAUUUAUUUCUGAUUUUCUUCAUUUAUUCUGCUCCAGUCAUACUGUUGGCCUUGCUGUUCCUCCCUCAAACACACCAUUCCUGCUUCAGCCUCUUUGUAUUUGUCUUUUCCUUUGCUUGGAAGUCUCUUUCCCCCAGAUAUGAAUAGGGCUUCCUGCCUCUGCCUCUUUUAAAUCUUUGUUCUAAUCUUCACCUUCUUGGUGAAGCCUAAUCACUGUAUUUAAAAUAAACUACUCUGUAGCUCUCUUCCCUAAUUUAUUUUUCUGCAAAGUACAUACCAACUUUCAAUGUAUUAUGAUUUAUUUUGUUUAACAUGUAUAGGUAACAACAGAUAAGCUUUGCUUAUGAUUAUAAAAAUUAGUUCUCAGGCCGGGCGCGGUGGCUCAAGCCUGUAAUCCCAGCACUUUGGGAGGCCGAGACGGGCGGAUCACGAGGUCAGGAGAUCGAGACCAUACUGGCUAACACAGUGAAACCCCGUCUCUACUAAAAAAUAUAAAAAACUAGCCGGGCGAGGUGGCGGGCGUCUGUAGUCCCAGCUACUUGGAAGGCUGAGGCAGGAGAAUGGCACAGACCCGGGAGGCGGAGCUUGCAGUGAGCUGAGAUCCGGCCACUGCACUCCAGCCUGGGUGACAGAGCGAGACUCCGUCUCAAAAAAAAAAAAAAAUUAGUUCUCAAUCAGUUUCACAUGGCAAAACAUAUAAACCUGUGUUGAAAUAAGUAGUUGGUAAUCUCCUUUUAGGCUGCUUAAAGUGGAGAUUAGUAUUUACCAAAGAUGAGAAAUGUUUUCUGAAUUUCCAUGAGACCAUUUUUUUUUUUUUGGAAUGGAGUCUCGCUUUGUCGCCCAGGCUGGAGUGCAGUGGUGUGGUCUCAGCUCACCGCAACCUCCGCCUCCCAGGUUUAAGCAAUUCUCCUGCCUCAGCCUCCUGAGUAGCUAGGACUACAGGCGCCUGCCACCACGCCUGGCUGAUUUUUGUUUUUGUUUUUGUUUUGAGACGGAGUCUCGCUCUGUCGCCCAGGCUGGAGUGCAGUGGCCGGAUCUCAGCUCACUGCAAGCUCCACCUCCUGGGUUCACGCCAUUCUCCUGCCUCAGCCUCCCGAGUAGCUGAGACUACAGGCGCCCGCCACCUCGCCCGGCUAGCUUUUUGUGUUUUUUAGUAGAGACGGGGUUUCACCCUGUUAGCCAGGAUGGUCUCGAUCUCCUGACCUCGUGAUCUGCCCGCCUCGGCCUCCCAAAGUGCUGGGAUUACAGGCUUGAGCCACCGCGCCCGGCCUGAUUUUUGUAUUUUUAACAGAGACAGGGUUUCACCGUGUUGGCCAGGCUGGCCUCGAACUCCUGACCUUGUGAUCUGCUCGCCUCGGCCUCCCAGAGUGCUGGGAUUACAGGCGUGAGCCACCUCACCCAGCCCAAUUUUUGUAUUUUCCGUGGAGAUGGGGUUUCACCAUGUUGGCCAGGCUGGUCUCCAACUCCUGACCUCCAGUGAUUUGCCCACCUCGGCCUCCCAAAGUGCUGGGAUUCCAGGCGUGAGUCACUGCCCCUGGCCGAGAGUUUUGCUUAUUAAGCAUUAUUUAUAUCUAAUACUAGUGGAGGGAAAGCGGUUCUAAAGAUGAAUUCAUGGCCCAGUCUUGUAACCAUUGUGAGGCUAGGCACUGGGCCAUUGCUAGGAUAUAGUAUGCGGCAUGAGAUAGUAUAAUAAAUUUGUUUAUUGAAGUCCUCAGAGUUUUGUUUACUGCUUUAUUCAUUAAUCAGUUUAUUCAACAGGUAUGAAAACCAACUACCCUAAGAAAGCGCUGAGAUAGGCUAUUAUAAUGUUCAUAGAAGAGCUUCUGUAAGUAGGACAGUAGUCCUUUCUGUUUUAAAAAGAGGUACAACCCCCAGUUUGGUUUUGGUCAAAGAGUUUUUUUUUUUUUUUUUUUUUUUGAGACGGAGUCUCGCUGUGUCUCCCAGGCUGGAGUGCAGUGGCCUGAUCUCGGCUCACUGCAAGCUCCGCCUCCCGGGUUCACGCCAUUCUCCUGCCUCAGCCUCCCAAGUAGCUGAGACUACAGGCGCCCGCCACCACGCCCGGCUAGUUUUUUGUAUUUUUAGUAGAGACGGGGUUUCACCAUGUUAGCCAGGAUAGUCUCGAUCUCCUGACCUCGUGAUCCACCCGCCUCGGCCUCCCAAACUGCUGGGAUUACAGGCUUGAGCCACCGCGCCCGGCCGGUCAAAGAGUUUUAUAGAAAGUUUAUUUUAAAACUCAACACAUUUACAGUCUUGCAAUCUUGUGUUUUUCCUUUGUUAAUAUGUAGUUAUAACCUACCUACUGUUUAAAAAGUUUCUAGUACCUCAGUUGCCAAGUAUAUUAAAUCCUCCUAGGGGCUGAGCGCAGUGGCUUAUGCCUGUAAUCCGAGCACUUUGGAAGGCCGAGGCCAAUCACUUGAGGCCAGGAGUUUGAGACCAGCCUGGCCAAACAUGGUGAAACCCCAUCUCUACUAAAAAUACAAAAAUUAACUGAGCUUGGUAGCAUGCACCUGGUGGUGUGCACAUGUAAUCCCAGCUAGGCUGAGGCAGGAGAAUCGCUUGAACCCGACAGGCGGAGGUUUCAGUGAGCCCAGAUGGUGCCUCUGCACUCCAGCCUGGGCGACAGAGCAAGACUCCAUCUAAGAAAAAAAUUCAUCCUAGGGAUUCUUUUACCUAUAAAGUUUUCUAAAUAUUUUAAGUAUGUUGUGUUUUCUGAAGUUGAAGUUUAGUUUUAUUGAAUAUGAUAUCCCAAUUUAAGUGAAAGGAAUUCUGAGGAAGUAGAGCGGUGAGCAUGUAGGUCAUGCUUUUCUAUUUUUAAAGAAAUGUCUAGUAAAUAGGUAAACAGAUACUGAACUUCAUUAGUCAUGAAGGAAAUGUAAAUUGCAAUAAGAGUGUAUUUUACUUAUAAAAUUAUGAUAAUUUUGACACUGAUCUAUUCUAACAUUGAUGAGGAUUUGAGGAAAGGGCAUACACAUAUUCUGGUGUGGGAGUAUACAUUUGUAUGCUAGUUUUCAGGGAUGCUUUUGGAGGUAAAAUUUGAAUACAUA